rnacentral:tRNA from 1 species
GGCUCCAUGGUGUAAUGGUUAGCACCCUGGACUUUGAAUCCAGAGAUCCGAGUUCGAGUCUCGGUGGGACCU